UUACAAAUUACAUGCCUCUCAGCUGCUAUUGUGAGUGAUAGGGAUCCAAUAUUUGUCGGCCAAUUCUAUAAGCAAUCGUUCAAGCAUCCAGGAGUCCAACUUACAUUACUCAACAAUCUUGCAAUGCAUGACUAGUGAUAGCCUUACUCCUUGGUUUAAAUGCCUUUCCCUCGCUGAAUGGUGAAUGGUUAAAUGAGGAAAUCAAGCAGCAACCCAAGUAUUGAUUCACUGGAAGGGUUUGUCUCGAGCGCAAGAUUGAGAGGGAAGAGGGUAGCUGUUUGGGUGCGCGAGACACGGCGGUGGUGCUUUUGAGGUCAAGGUUUCUCAACUUUAGUUUUUUUAUAUCACAUUUUCCUUAUAUACUCCAUGUUUUUAGAUUUUUUGGCCACUGGUGAUGUUAAAUAACUAUCCAUCAUUAACCAGAAAGAAGGAAAAAGAGUGAAGAAGUAAUUAACAUCAGAAUUACUGGCCGACAUGAGAAGUAGGCUUGUAGACCGAUCUGAUCUGAAAACGUGUUCUGAAACUAAACAUGAAUAAUCAAAGUAUGAAUGUACGUUUGUUUGUAUAACGGGAAAAAGUAAUCAAUUUUUCUCACAACCUAA